rnacentral:rRNA from 1 species
GACGAACGCUGGCGGCGUGCCUAACACAUGCAAGUCGAGCGAUGAAGCUUCUUCGGAAGUGGAUUAGCGGCGGACGGGUGAGUAACACGUGGGCAACCUACCUCAUAGUGGGGAAUAGCCUCUCGAAAAGGGAGAUUAAUACCGCAUAAGAUCGUAGUUUCGCAUGAAACAGCGAUAAAAGGAGCAAUCCGCUAUGAGAUGGGCCCGCGGCGCAAUUAGCUAGUUGGUGAGGUAACGGCUCACCAAGGCGACGAUGCGUAGCCGACCUGAGAGGGUGAUCGGCCACAUUGGGACUGAGACACGGCCCAGACUCCUACGGGAGGCAGCAGUGGGGAAUAUUGCACAAUGGGGGAAACCCUGAUGCAGCAACGCCGCGUGAAGUGAUGACGG